UACUAUUGAUUGCAUAACUACUAAAGCAUUUUUCCUAAGUUGGAUUAUUGUGAAAUGUUGGUAUAUGUUGCAGAUAAUAAACAAGGGAAUACUUCAAGUCAUUGGAGUCGAUAUUGGCAAAGGCCUUGAUCUUCCUCUCUGAACAUUAAUGAAAAACUUGUCACAGUUAAUUUUUUCACUUUAUUUUCGUGUUCUCUACAAUCAAUUUUCAUAAGAGAUUUGUUAUUUGGUACUAUACGUUUCUGUGAUCUAAAAUCUCUUCUAUUGUAAAUUGCAAGAACCCUUGGUGUUGGCUUAAGUAAUACAAUUUUAUGGUGAACACCAUACUCUCUUAAUUAUCAUUUCAAAUUAUUUGUAUGUUGAACAAACAGUUCAAAAUUGUGCACAUAAGUUAUGCAAUUGUGGCAUUCACGAUAUUGUAAGAAAUAUUAGCUGCAUAUUUUGAUUACCAUGAACAAAUACUUCAAAACAAAUGCCUUCAAUAGUUCAGUAACUUGUUAUUUUUUUUUUUUUGGUAAUCAACUUGUUAUUUUGUAUUUAUGAUUUUCGAGAGAGUCCAAACGUAAGCAGCCCACGAAAAGCCCACAAUAGAAGCCCAUGAAAAGUUUGAUAGUUUACUUUAUCGAUGGAUUUCCUUCGUAAACAGAGAGAGGGAUCGGUGGGAAGAGGAAGAAGCUAAGUAAAAUCGGGAAAAAAAUGGGUGCCAUCACGAGCGCGGUGAUAGCAGUGGCGGCGGUGCUUCUCGGAUGGGCCACCAUCGAGAUCGCAUGCAAGCCAUGCCUCGAAAUGGGUCGCGAAGCCAUCGAUCGUAAUCUGAACCCCGAUUAC
rnacentral:lncRNA from 1 species